rnacentral:misc_RNA from 1 species
AUUUCACUUGAGCAUGUGGUGCAAUCCCAAUUACUAAAGAAGGUAUGGACUGUGCACGCAAUGGUAUAUUGUUUUCAGCGUGCAAAAUUUACAUUGGAAUACAUUUGCAUUCAUGGAUGUCUUCUAGUUCUAAAGCUCAUUUAUUUUCUGUUUAUUUAUUCAUGGUAUCUAUUAGUCGUGCUUGAUAUUUCAAGAACGCAAGAUAAGUUAUGCCCCUUAGCCAUGUCAUAUCAAGUGUUUGUGUGUUGUGAAAAGAUUAAAA